rnacentral:rRNA from 1 species
AUGACGAACGUCGCCGAGCACCGUGUACAGAUGCCGGCGGAUCCCCCCGCGGGCAAGGCCGCCGCCGCGGCGCCGGAGAUGGGGCUGAACCGCUUCGUUGUGCUGAUCGAGAGGCUCGGCAAUGCCUUGGGCACGCUGGCCUUCACGUGGGCGACCGUCGUCCUGCUCGGCGGCUAUCCCAGCGACCUCCUUCGCACGGAUAUCUGGGUCUCGACGGCCACGGUUUUUCUAGAAGCCUUGAGGAUGAUUGGUCACAGUAACAGGCUGGAUUACCAAUUUUUCUUCCGCACGAGAGGUGCUUUCAGGUCUCUUGGCUGGAACGGGGUGAUCUUGCUCAUAUAUCUCUUCAAUGUUCUGUUUAGCAUUGAUGAUGUAUGGGCCAAAUAUGAAGCAAUACACAUACUGACUUUGUCAGUGGCAGUACUUGUGAUUGGCGCAAUUCUAUGUCCAGAAGCUGCAAUCCCACCAAUGUGCGACCCAUUACGCCCCACGAUAUCAUUAUGGGGCCCAAUGGUUGCAAUCCUACUGCUUUCUCCCUCUCUAUUACUCAUCUCCAUUGCCAAGUGCACAGUAUACUUGGUACUAUUUGUGGUAGUGCUCCUACUCACAAUCAGCAGGCUGCGGUUCCCAGGUACCAUCAAGCUAGCAGACUGGGCUCUUGGCAGCAAAAUAGCAUUUUGGCAUCGAGUUAUUCCAAACUCGUGCAUACUUGCGGAGGCAGUUAUGUUGAUGUUCUCCAAUAAUGUUUACACAAAAGUUGGGAUUAUUGUAUCCAACGUAUUUGCUCUAAUUACAAUAUCAUUUGGUAACCUCCAGAUUCCAGCAGCAGUGUUGCGCAUUGGGCUGGCAGUGUGGCGUCUUAUAGAUAUACCACAAGACUACUAUGGUGACAAUGAACAAGGUGACAAGACAAACCUUGUUUCAUCUCUCUUAAUAUUUUAUGUGAUGGUGCUUGGUCAAGGAAUACUCUAUAUUGUUGCUGGCAUCUUGGAUAUAUUCUCAUUCAUCCUACGAAGAUCCCUGAUCCGUCGUGUUGGAUUUAGAGGUCCCCCAGGAGUGCAAUAUGUCAAUUUGUACUACGCAUAUACCUUCGACAGAUGCAUGGAAGGUGCUAUGCUUGCUCCAAAGAAGACCAACCUCAUUACAUUUGCAAUCGAUUCUUUAAAGUCAGACUCAGCCAAGAUGCAACUCUAUGGGCUUAAGAUGCUACACAGCUUUCUGAAAAAGGAGCCCCUAAAGACUCAAGCCAUAUCAGAACUCACCACUUACACAAAGACAGUGACCUGCUUGAUCAACAUGUUGGGCUGGACAAGUGAAGUGGAUAAGGAUAUUAGAUCAUUUGCCGCCAAGGUCACGGCCGAGCUCGCUGAUUACCUUCGAGUUAUCCCUAUCCCUGGGGCGAUGAAGCUCAUAGUCUCACUUUUGGACAUUGUUCAUGGAGAGAAUAUAAAGAAUCCUCUUUUGGACAUUCGUAGCUUUGAGCCACAACAAGAUAAUGUGAUUCUGCAAGUUGGCAGGAACAAGCAGACCUCCCCAGUGCUUAAAUGGUUGAAACAGAUGGCACUAUACUGUUUGAUUCCGAGAGAGGAGCCAGCUAACAUGGAUGAACAAAACAUCCAUAUACUCAGAUGCUGGAGACAGCUUACAAAACGUUGGUCUGUUCCAGAGGAGGAGCCAUCAAAGGAGGAGCCAUCGACAGAUCAAGAUAUCCUCCCUUUAUUGGGCAUGUUAAUUCUUAACAAGCUUGCUAGCUUUGAUCUUGAGAAUUGUAUAGAAAUCAGCAGAGCAACUGGCCUCAUCUCAAAGAUCAUAGAGUUCACAAGCAGCAGAACUGAAAUGACAAAUAUUAACGAGGCACAACAGACACUGCUGAAAGGUUCAUCACUUGAGCUGCUGAGAAGAUUUUCAAGUACCAAAGGGGAAUUUGGUGUAAUUUUGCGUCAGAAGAUUUCAGAAAACCUCUUCCUUUUGAACCAUCUUGCAGAUAUCUUGGAUGACAGUGGGAGUAGCCAUGAACUGAGGGAGCUCACAUCAGAACUCCUUAGAAACCUGGCCAUGGAGGGUAAUAUAAAGGACGAGAUUGGACACAUCCGAGUGAUCAUUAGCAGGUUGAUGCAUGCAUUUCUCAGCCAAGAUGCACUCUCAAGUACGGAUUCUGAUCAGCGGCUACGAAUGAAAUCAGGGCAAGCACUGGCAGUACUGGCAAUGGAGAGUGCCAAUAACUGUUUGGUUAUGUUAGCAGAACCAGGGUAUGUAUUCAUAAAGGAACUCACAGUUAUGAUCCAUGGUGGCAGAUACAGGUACAUAGCUUCAAGCCUGUUGCGGAAUAUGUGUGUGCAUGCUCGAUCUGGGCUUCGCAACUCUGACCUGAACGAAAUCUCCUACAUUUUGAGAGAGGUGCUGAAAGGAAUAACGGAUGCAGAAGGGACAGAACUGGAGGUCCUUAUUGGUCUUAGUUCACAAAUAUGCAAUGUCAUUCCAGAAGACUUUGCGCAAGAGCUUGAACAUGGUCAGAUUAAGGAAGGAUUUAUAAAGAGGCUUGUCAAUGCACUUAACUCAAAUAUGAUACCCACUGCUCAUUGUCCUGGUAUCAGGAGGGUGAUAGUUGAACAUGCCAUAUACAUGAUGGAAUUCAAUCCGGCCUACGCUAGCUAUUUCAACAACUGUCAGAUGAUGGAAGCACUGCUAACGGUAGAGCGUAAACCUCAAGGGCUGAAAACUACAGGUUCUUAUUGGGUGAUGCAGGACUCAUGAAGCACAGCAUGCCUCUAUCCGCUCUUGUGGCUAGAGCAAAAGAGCUGA